rnacentral:rRNA from 1 species
UGGAGCAUGUGGUUUAAUUCGAAGCAACGCGAAGAACCUUACCAGGCCUUGACAUGCAGAGAACUUUCCAGAGGUGGAUUGGUGCCUUCGGGAACUCUGACACAGGUGCUGCAUGGCUGUCGUUUAGCUCGUGUCGUGAGAUGUUGGGUUAAGUCCCGUAACGAGCGCAACCCUUGUCCUUAGUUACCAGCACGUUAUGGUGGGCACUCUAAGGAGACUGCCGGUGACAAACCGGAGGAAGGUGGGGAUGACGUCAAGUCAUCAUGGCCCUUACGGCCUGGGCUACACACGUGCUACAAUGGUCGGUACAAAGGGUUGCCAAGCCGCGAGGUGGAGCUAAUCCCAUAAAACCGAUCGUAGUCCGGAUCGCAGUCUGCAACUCGACUGCGUGAAGUCGGAAUCGCUAGUAAUCGUGAAUCAGAAUGUCACGGUGAAUACGUUCCCGGGCCUU